rnacentral:hammerhead_ribozyme from 1 species
GUCCAUCUGACGAGACCCAAAUAGGACUAAAUGCGCGUCCUGGAU